AUGACGGAUGGGCUCGCGUUGUGUGCUUGUUGCCUAGGUUCUUUGUCCCUGCGUGUAGGAAGUAUUGGCCAAUCUGCUCCACGCGUUCCGCAUCCAAUCCUACCCUCGCCUCGUCCCACUCCCACUUCAGCCGCCAGACAAACCCUAGCUCCCUUUCCUAUCCACACAACCUCUUCCUCCCCGCAUCACCACAGCUGCCGCUGUGGAGCCUCGCGGACGCCUGCUAUUACUCCUCCCUCGUCUCUGUCUGGUCGCCCUCUCGUGCUCCACCAUGCAGCCGCCUCUUCCUCCUCUAUUCCCUCCUACCGUGGUUCCGGAUCGGGUGCAGGCCGUCAUACUGGAGAGCAUGAGCGUCAAGGUCUUAAUGGUGGGGUGGAGAUGCAGGGGAGGGGUUGCAAGAGAAGGAGCUCAAGUUGGUUCACGGUUUGCCUUUGCAUCCUCUCUACCCACUUCCCUCACUCACGCCUCCCCCUUUUCUCAUGGAUGAGGGCUCGGCUGCAGGUUUGGGAUGGAAUUGUUGGAUAUCCAAAUGUUUGUGAAUUAUCCUUGAUUAAUUGCUUGCUAAAACAAAGAAUGCAUCCAGCAGCACCUCGACCAGGUGUCACAAGAGAACUGAACAGAUUGAGAACUCAAGAAGUAGAACAACUGUGUUUCACUUCUUCAGAUGAUUAUAUGAAGGAUGGAAGCUUCGAAUGGCUAGCAGAACCGAGGCCGCAGGGACACCGUCGCAUUGAGGUAGUGCCAUGGCCUGCCACAGGCUUUGACUCGGUGUUGCGUGAUGGAAGAGCAGUGGUAAAGUUCGACAGCAUUGAAGCGAGAUGUGAGAUCCCAGCGCUCCAAAUGAUGGGUCGUGGCCGUUGGAGGGCCAACAGAGGACAAGGGCUAACAACCGGUGGUGGAGGGAGAGUCUGA
rnacentral:rRNA from 1 species